CAGCCGCCGCGGGAAUACGUAGGGUGCAAGCGUUAAUCGGAAUUACUGGGCGUAAAGCGUGCGCAGGCGGUUAUAUAAGACAGAUGUGAAAUCCCCGGGCUCAACCUGGGAACUGCAUUCGUGACUGUAUAGCUAGAGUACGGCAGAGGGGGAUGGAAUUCCGCGUGUAGCAGUGAAAUGCGUAGAUAUGCGGAGGAACACCGAUGGCGAAGGCAAUCCCCUGGGCCUGUACUGACGCUCAUGCACGAAAGCGUGGGGAGCAAACAGGAUUAGAUACCCCAGUAGUCCCUGUCUCUUAUAC
rnacentral:rRNA from 1 species